CAGCAGCCGCGGUAAUACGGAGGGGGCUAGCGUUGUUCGGAAUCACUGGGCGUAAAGGGAGCGUAGGCGGCGUGGUAAGUCAGAUGUGAAAUCCCGGGACUCAACCCCGGAACUGCAUCCGAUACUGCCAUGCUAGAGGAUUGGAGAGGUAGCUGGAAUUCUUGGUGCAGCAGUGAAAUGCGUGGAGAUCAAGAGGAACACUCGUGGCGAAAGCGAGCUACUGGACAAUAACUGACGCUGAGGCUCGAAGGCCAGGGUAGCGAAAGGGAUUAGAUACCCCCGUAGUCCCUGUCUCUUAUAC
rnacentral:rRNA from 1 species